AACAUACAGUAUUUAAAUUGAUUUUAACUGUGUUGCAGGAAUAUUAACUGAACUGGAAGUUAGUCAGUGUUUGCUGAAUUUUAUUAUUUGCUAGUAAUUACAGGUGUGGGGGUAGCCACAUUCUUUGAUUUCCUGUCCUUGCCUAUUUAAGUGGUACAGUGGGAAAUAUUUUCUUCUUAAAAACCUCAGCUUUGGCCAGCUAAGAACUAGCUUUAUUCAACUGGACGUAUACGAGAAUUUAAGUAGCUUUAUCUGCACUUUUU